rnacentral:rRNA from 1 species
AACGAACGCUGGCGGCAGGCCUAACACAUGCAAGUCGAACGCUCCGCAAGGGGAGUGGCGCACGGGUGAGUAACACGUGGGAACCUACCUUCUGGUACGGAACAACCAAGGGAAACUUUGGCUAAGACCGUAUACGACCUCCGGGUGAAAGAUUGAUCGCCGGAAGAGGGGCCCGCGUCCGAUUAGGUAGUUGGUGAGGUAACGGCUCACCAAGCCUUCGAUCGGUAGCUGGUCUGAGAGGAUGACCAGCCACACUGGGACUGAGACACGGCCCAGACUCCUACGGGAGGCAGCAGUGGGGAAUAUUGGACAAUGGGCGCAAGCCUGAUCCAGCCAUGCCGCGUGAGUGAUGAAGGCCUUCGGUUGG